rnacentral:rRNA from 1 species
CAGUAGCCGCGGGAAUACGUAGGGUGCGAGCGUUAAUCAGAAUUACUGGGCGUAAAGCGUGCGCAGGCGGUUUUGUAAGACAGGCGUGAAAUCCCCGGGCCCAACCUGGGAAUGGCGCUUGUGACUGCAAAGCUAGAGUGCGGCAGAGGGGGAUGGAAUUCCGCGUGUAGCAGUGAAAUGCGUAGAUAUGCGGAGGAACACCGAUGGCGAAGGCAAUCCCUGGGCCUGCACUGACGCUAAUGCACGAAAGCGUGGGGAGCAAAUAGGAUUAGAUACCCGUGUAGUCCCUGUCUCUUAUACA